UAAACAGGGCAGCCGCAGGGAGGAGGAACACAAGGCGCAGGGAGACAGAAAGGCAGGGGCGGCCAUGAUGGAUCCCAGCGCCACAAACAAGGGGCCAAGCCCGCGCCGGGCCGCCUGGAUUCCCGGGUGUUCGCAGAGCCCUAAAGCUUGACUGUGAUGCUGGCACAACUAGAGCCCCACAGACAUACAGAGGAGCU
rnacentral:lncRNA from 1 species